rnacentral:rRNA from 1 species
UGGGGAAUAUUGCACAAUGGGCGCAAGCCUGAUGCAGCCAUGCCGCGUGUGUGAAGAAGGCCUUCGGGUUGUAAAGCACUUUCAGCGGGGAGGAAGGCGAUAAGGUUAAUAACCUUGUCGAUUGACGUUACCCGCAGAAGAAGCACCGGCUAACUCCGUGCCAGCAGCCGCGGUAAUACGGAGGGUACAAGCGUUAAUCGGAAUUACUGGGCGUAAAGCGCACGCAGGCGGUCUGUCAAGUCGGAUGUGAAAUCCCCGGGCUCAACCUGGGAACUGCAUUCGAAACUGGCAGGCUAGAGUCUUGUAGAGGGGGGUAGAAUUCCAGGUGUAGCGGUGAAAUGCGUAGAGAUCUGGAGGAAUACCGGUGGCGAAGGCGGCCCCCUGGACAAAGACUGACGCUCAGGUGCGAAAGCGUGGGGAGCAAACAGG